rnacentral:rRNA from 1 species
UACGUAGGGUGCGAGCGUUAAUCGGAAUUACUGGGCGUAAAGCGUGCGCAGGCGGUUAUGUAAGACAGAUGUGAAAUCCCAGGGCUCAACCUUGGAACUGCAUUUGUGACUGCAUAGCUAGAGUACGGUAGAGGGGGAUGGAAUUCCGCGUGUAGCAGUGAAAUGCGCAGAUAUCAGGAAGAACACCCGUGGCUAAGGCGGCUCUCUAGUACGGUACUGACGCUGAGACGCGAAAGCGUGGGGAGCGAACAGG